CCUACGGGAGGCUGCAGUGGGGAAUAUUGCACAAUGGGGGAAACCCUGAUGCAGCGACGCCGCGUGAGUGAAGAAGUAUUUCGGUACGUAAAGCUCUAUCAGCAGGGAAGAAAAUGACGGUACCUGACUAAGAAGCCCCGGCUAACUACGUGCCAGCAGCCGCGGUAAUACGUAGGGGGCAAGCGUUAUCCGGAUUUACUGGGUGUAAAGGGAGCGUAGAGGGCAGCGCAAGUCUGGAGUGAAUUCCCAUGGCUUAACCAUGGAACUGCUUUGGAAACUGUGCAGCUAGAGUGCAGUAGAGGUAAGCGGAAUGCCUAGUGUAGCGGUGAAAUGCGUAGAUAUUAGGAGGAACACCAGUGGCGAAGGCGGCUUACUGGACUGUAACUGACGUUGAGGCUCGAAAGCGUGGGGAGCAAACAGGAUUAGAUACCCGGGUAGUC
rnacentral:rRNA from 1 species